rnacentral:lncRNA from 1 species
CCAAACUUAUCAUCACCAUCUCGACUCACCUCCAAACACGACCAUAUAUUUGCGAAAUUCUAGAGGGGAAAUUGAACGCAACAACACGGAGACCAGAUCUUAAUAUAAUAAAGAUGAAAACUGUUGAUUUCCAUUUCAAAAAGCAUAAUCUUCUUCUUUAUUGGACCAGUCUUUCGCACAUCAAAAGAGCUUUUACAAGAACAUCUAUGACUUAACAGCAAGUAACACUAAUAAUGCAACUCAUUUCUAAAAACAUUUUGAAUUUUCUACAAUCUUUCAUUGAAAUGAUAGACCUCUUCAUCAAUCACACCAACCUCGGUCAAACAAACUGAGCAACAUACUUGCUUAAAUAUUUCACUGCUAACAGAACCUGAUUCAGUCUCACCACCACCUCUCCCUUUUCUGCCCCUUUUCUGUUUUAAACAUGGCUGGGACACUUGUCAUUCUUUAUCUUGCAGUUGACAACAAAUAUUACUCUGUAUUAUGUUAAAUAUUUUUCAUGCCUGCAAGACCCAACCCAAAGUUAGCUUCCAAAACAUGAACAUAGAUCAUAACAAAAACCAGAAUUAUCACAUGAAAGAAGCAAUGCAAUGAAGAGCAAAAGCAACCAUACGAAUCAAUGGAAAGUUUAAGAAUGAUACUCUUUAUAUACACUUGACAAAAGUACAUGUAGCUAACCUUUGCAAAUAUUGAGCAGGUAUUUCUUAAGCAUCUAACAUAUUUUAUUUACUAGUUUCAUCCCAACUAUAGUUAUACCAGCCACAAUUAUCAUUUUAGAUAGUUACUGAUACUCAAAUUACACCCUAGGAAACCAUAUAAAAUCAAAACAGAUAAAUUCCAGCUAUUCUCAUGUUCAUCCCAAAACAAAACAAAAAGGAAAUAGGGCUAAAAUUCCCAGAUGGAAAAAAAUCCCAAAUCAAAUCAAAAAUUGAAAUUGAAAUUGAAACCUAGUUAAAUCUUAACGAAAUCGAAAAAUAGUUAAGGGUUUACCGAAUUUCGUUAAUAUUUGGUCUCCGUGUUGCUGCGUUCAAUUUCCCCUCUAGAAUUUUGUUAUGGU